GACCAUUUAGACUUCGUUUAGAUAACACACGUCUUCAAAAUUAAUAGUUUAAAAUAAAAUUUUGGGGAGUUAAAAAUUGAAAAGUGAAACGCUAAAAUGUAUAUACAAACCUAUUCUAUCACUUUCCUCUGAGCAAGGGAAAUAUAUAUUGAAACUGUAGGAGAUCAUAGUGGGUUUAACGACAACGAGACAGCAAUCAAACAACAAAAACACAUAAGGACAGCUA
rnacentral:lncRNA from 1 species